rnacentral:lncRNA from 1 species
GGGUAUUGGGUAAGAAGUGACAAACUGCAAACUAAGAAGAAUAUUACCAGUUACUGAGUAAUAAAUUCUUAGGGGACUCAAAGCAUCUAUCUAGGUAAGAUCUAGAAAGAAACGGUCAAUCAAGACUCAACCCAAUGAGGAUAUAACUCAAGGGGAGUGAUUCCAUCCAGAUAAUCCACUAGGGAGGAAACUGAAAUAAUAAUCUUCUAUCUAGGUAAGAUCUAGAAAGAAACGGUCAAUCAAGACUCAACCCAAUGAGGAUAUAACUCAAGGGGAGUGAUUCCAUCCAGAUAAUCCACUAGGGAGGAAACUGAAAUAAUAAUCAUC